AGUGAACGCUGGCGGUAGGCCUAACACAUGCAAGUCGAACGGCAGCACAGUAAGAGCUUGCUCUUACGGGUGGCGAGUGGCGGACGGGUGAGGAAUACAUCGGAAUCUACUUUUUCGUGGGGGAUAACGUAGGGAAACUUACGCUAAUACCUCAUACGACCUACGGCUGAAAGCAGGGGAUCUUCGGACCUUGCGCGAUUGAAUGAGCCGAUGUCGGAUUAGCUAGUUGGCGGGGUAAAGGCCCACCAAGGCGACGAGCCGUAGCCGGUCUGAGAGGCUGAUCAGCCACACUGGAACUGGGACGCGGUCCAGACUCCUACGGGAGGGAGCAGUAGGGAAUAUUGGACAAUGGGCGCGAGCCUGAUCCAGCCAUACCGCGUGGGUGAAGAAGGCCUUCGGGUUGUAAAGCCCUUUUGUUGGGGAAGAAAAGCAGCAGGUUAAUACCCCGCUGUUCUGACGGUACCCAAAGAAUAAGCACCGGCUAACUUCGUG
rnacentral:rRNA from 1 species